rnacentral:rRNA from 1 species
GUGGGGAAUUGUUCGCAAUGGGCGCAAGCCUGACGACGCAACGCCGCGUGGAGGACGAAGAUCUUCGGGUUGUAAACUCCUGUCGAGCGGGACGAACAGCGCUCGGGUUAAUACCCCGGACGCCUGACGGUACCGCUAAAGGAAGCCCCGGCUAACUCCGUGCCAGCAGCCGCGGUAAUACGGGGGGGGCAAGCGUUGUUCGGAAUUACUGGGCGUAAAGGGCUCGUAGGCGGCCAGCCAAGUCGGACGUGAAAUCCCUCGGCUUAACCGGGGAACUGCGUCCGAUACUGGUUAGCUUGAAGCCGGGAGAGGGAUGCGGAAUUCCAGGUGUAGCGGUGAAAUGCGUAGAUAUCUGGAGGAACACCGGUGGCGAAGGCGGCAUCCUGGACCGGUCUUGACGCUGAGGAGCGAAAGCUAGGGGAGCAAACGGG